rnacentral:misc_RNA from 1 species
GAUGAAGAACGUAGCGAAAUGCGAUAAGUAGUGUGAAUUGCAGAAUUCAGUGAAUCAUCGAAUCUUUGAACGCACAUUGCGCCCCUUGGUAUUCCAUGGGGCAUGCCUGUUCGAGCGUCAUUUGUACCUUCAAGCUUUGCUUGGUGUUGGGUGUUUGUCCUGAGGGACUCGCCUUAAAGUAAUUGGCAGCCAGUGUUUGGUUUUGAAGCGCAGCACAAGUCGCGAUUCAAGGCUAUACACCAGCUUCCACAAGCCUUUUUCACUUAUGACCUCGGAUCAGGUAGGGAUACCCGCUGAACUUAAGCAUAUCAAUAAGCGGAGGA